ensembl:lncRNA
GAAACUUGUGUUGGGGAGUAUCAGAAAACACAUCCAGACACCUGGACUGUCAAAGACCACACGGCACGAACAUUCUCCUGGAGACGCUGAGAAAGCACGGAAGGAAUGUCUGUGGAGGAUGUACUCAAACACACCCAUACUUAAGGACACCUGCUGGAGGGGACCCUGCUACACUCUUUCCUACCAUACAACUGAUGGACACUGACUGUAAAAAUGGCAAUCAUAGGAGGAGGGUUCAGUGUGGUGACAGAAGAUGGAAUAGACGUGUGCCAGUGCACCAGCCUUGAUGAAGCCUUCAUAACAGCCUUCUGUAUCAUUGACUGGAAGUCUGUCAGUCCAGAUGUGAGGAAGACCUACAGAGUGAGUUUGAGCUCAGCAGGUGUGAUAGCUGUGGAUACAUCUACAGAAACACCACUGGAUACUGUAGCCAUGGAAAGAAGGGGGUCUUCACAGCUUUCUAUUCAGACAAAGAGUUUGCUGGAUUCUGUUCUAUGGACUGCUACUACAGAAUGAAUGAAUGAAUGAGUGGUUUAUCUAUCUAUCUAUCUAUCUAUCGGCUGAAACUGAAAGCUAAAUAAAUGUUUUAGUUGAUAAAGCUGUGUCUGUUUGCUUAUGUCACUUAACAUAAGGUUACUAAACUCUUCUGACCAAUUUUUAAAUUUUAUAAUUUAGUGGUUUUGUCAACUAUGUAUUUUUCUCUAUCAGGCAAAACAUUUUUUGAGGGUAACACUUUACAAUAAGGUUUCAUUUGCUGACACUGAUGUAUUAACUAACAUUAACUAUGAGCAAUACAUUUGAUACAGUGUUUAUUAAACUUUGUUAGUUAAUAAAAAUACAGCUGUUCGUUGUUUGUUCUUGUUAGUUCACUUCACAGUGCUUUAACUAAUGUUAACAAAUACAACUUUUGACUUUAACUUAAGAACAGCUAGUGCGACUAACCGUGUUAAGAGACGUUUGUAUUCUCGAAAAAUAAUUGUAAUUUGUUUUUGAUUAUUGAUAAAUCAAGACCUAAACUUCCGGCGAUGACGUCAGUAACCCGCGCCAUGCAGAAGUUUUGAAGGUACUUUCAAAAGUAAUUUAAAAUAAUAUUCUUAAUCUCAUUAACGCCGUUUUUACCUUGGAAGAAUUACAUUUGGAUUAUGUUGAAUAUAUGGUUUCCUUUUAAUCUGCGAUUAAGAGUAUAUGCCUCGCCACCUUUUUUUUUUUUUUUUACAGCCAUCUUUCGCAUUACCUUUUGGCACGCCCCCUACCUUUCGUUUCACCAAUGAAAACCCUUUUGGCACGCCCCACACCUUUCGGCACGCCCCCACCUUUUGGCACGCCCAUUUCUCCAGGCUGCAGUUACCCCUACUUGGUCGGCGCUGUACUCUUGCUUGAACUAUUUUUGUUCUUGGUGGAAGCUUUGCAUAGGAUAAUACAUGUGUGCUGUAGUUGACGAUCACCUGCAAUAAUUUGAGUUAAAGUCAUGUUACUUUACUAUUACACAUUAAGUGUUUGCAGUUUUAUAUUAAGAAAUAUUCCUUCUCAGUGGACUCAAAUGAAAUAAGUUAACCAAAUG